rnacentral:rRNA from 1 species
UACGUAGGGUGCUAGCGUUGUUCGGAAUCAUUGGGCGUAAAGCGCGUGUAGGUGGCUUGUUAAGUCGAUUGUGAAAUCCCUGGGCUCAACCGAGGAAGUGCAUUCGAAACUAGCUAGCUAGAGGACGGCAGAGGAAGGUGGAAUGCCAAGUGUAGAGGUGAAAUUCGUAGAUAUUUGGCGGAAUACCGGUGGCGAAGGCGGCCUUCUGGACCGGUCCUGACACUGAGACGCGAAAGCGUGGGGAGCAAACAGG